ensembl:lincRNA
AAUUGGUCUCCUCUAGGAGGUUGCUCUGGUGCCUUGGUUGUAUCUGGUGCCUUGGUCGUAUCAGGUGCCUUGGUUGUAUCUGGUGCCUUGGUUGUGUCAGGUGCCUUGGUUGUAUCUGGUGCCUUUGUUGUAUCUGGUGCCUUGGUUGUGUCAGGUGCCUUGGUUGUACCAGGGGCUUUUGUUGUCUUUGGGGCUUGGGUUGUUUUGGGGGCAGAGGUGUCCUUAUCACUCCCACCUCCAUUUGGCAAAUCUCCCGGUAAGAAUGUAGGGACUACCAAAAUGGUGGGGAGGGCAGGUGACGGUGCUGGUGCAAUUGCACUAGUACCUGGGACUCGGGGAGGACUGGGCAAUACUUCAUCCUUUGGAACCAAACCCAUACCAGCACUAGGAGAAACUCCUUGGGCCACUCCGGUGCCAGUGGAGGGGGCUGAAAGGAUGACAAAUGGUAACAAAGAACGACCAUUUGGUGAAGGAGGAAAUAUGAAUAUGGGCUGACGAGAGGACGGAGGAGAAGGCCUGGGGGGUUGUGGUGGAGGAGGAGGGGGAGAAGCAAAAAUAUAUAUGGGAGGGGAAGGCUUGGCAGAAACACUUGGUGACUGAUUUGGAGGGGGAAAUAUAAAAACUGGUUGAGCUUUAGGCGCACCAGAAGCAGAACGUUGAGGCAGCUGUGGGAUAUAGAAAAUUGGUGGCGGACGAGGAGGGGGUGGGACAGGUGCACGGGGAGGGGGAGGGAAUACAAAGAUAGGGGGGAAUCUUCUGGAGCUUGUAGAAGAUGCUACCUGUACGGGGGGAGCUGGUUGCACUGGUUGACCUGCAGGAGAGAAGCAAGGAGCUGGAGGUCCAGCAAAGGUUGGAGGCGCUGGUGCCACCUGGUUGGAAACUGUAGGAUGAGAGAACCAGGAUGGUUGAUUCAUCCUCAGACGUUGAUUACCAGGCACUCUCUGAAAAUAAAACAUCCUUGCAGGUCUAAUUUUUCUCUGUGGGAAAAAUAAACAAGAACAAACAUCAUGGACAAAAUUCUAAAAUGAUUUUAAAGUCACCUGGCCUGUUUCAACGGAGUGUAUUAUGAAAACUGCAUGCCACUUUCCCACAGACAAAGCCCAUGGACACUAAGCAGUGUUAGGUUAGUCUGAAAGAAUGAAGAAAUUCAGAAAGAAUAGGAAGGUAAGGUAGGAUAGGUCAGAAAGAAUAGGAAAAAUUAGACAGCAAGAAUUAGAAUAUGAAUAUAAUAAUAAUUCUUCAUAAGAAUUAGGAAGAGUGUUAUUUAUUUGCAUGUGUACCAGUUUUCACUCGUGUUAUAGUUUGCACAAUGCAAUGCAAAGAAAUGUCAGUUACUUCCUCUGUGAUCCUUUUUCUGCAGCCCUCCAAUAUUCCCAUUUCACUUUGUUUCAUCCAAUGUGUGUGUAGGCCUGGCAUCAUACCUUCCAGACACCACACACCAAUAACAUUUACUGUAUUUGACACAGGGUUUGUCUGGACUCCUAGAAUAUAAUUUCAGUGGCAACUUCAAUCAUCUCUAUCAACUACAAGUGUAUCUCUUCCAAGAACUCAAAUAAAAUGCCAUAUAUUCCUUUUUGCUCAUGGUGUCAAAACCAUUUGUCAAAAAGCUUGAGUGAACCACAGCAAAUGAACAACAGCCCGAACUUAUAUCAUUCUUAAUAAAAGUUUUAAGUCGUAUCUUCAAUCAACAGCCAUAAAGACAAUUCUUUCAGUAUUUAUUUCGAGAAGCAAAACAGU